rnacentral:rRNA from 1 species
GAUGAACGCUGGCGGCGUGCCUAAUACAUGCAAGUCGAGCGAACAGACGAGGAGCUUGCUCCUCUGACGUUAGCGGCGGACGGGUGAGUAACACGUGGAUAACCUACCUAUAAGACUGGGAUAACUUCGGGAAACCGGAGCUAAUACCGGAUAAUAUAUUGAACCGCAUGGUUCAAUAGUGAAAGGCGGUUUUGCUGUCACUUAUAGAUGGAUCCGCGCCGCAUUAGCGAGUUGGUAAGGUAACGGCUUACCAAGGCAACGAUGCGUAGCCGACCUGAGAGGGUGAUCGGCCACACGGGAACUGAGACGCGGUCCAGGCUCCGAGGGGAGGCAGCAGUAGGGAAUCUUCCGCAAAGGGCGAAAGCCUGACGGAGCAACGCCGCGUGGGUGAUGAAGGGCUUCGGAUCGUAAAACGCUGUUAUUAGGGAAGAACAAAUGUGUAAGUAACGAUGCACGUCUGGACGGUACCUAAUCAGAAAGCCACGGCUAACUACGG